rnacentral:rRNA from 1 species
GACGAACGCUGGCGGCGUGCUUAACACAUGCAAGUCGAACGAUGACGACCGAGCUUGCUCGGUCUGAUUAGUGGCGAACGGGUGAGUAACACGUGAGCAACCUGCCCUUCACUCUGGGAUAACCUCGGGAAAUCGGGGCUAAUACCGGAUAUGAGCUCCUGUCGCAUGGCGGGUGUUGGAAAGUUUUUCGGUGAAGGAUGGGCUCGCGGCCUAUCAGUUUGUUGGUGAGGUAGUGGCUCACCAAGGCGAUGACGGGUAGCCGGCCUGAGAGGGCGACCGGCCCCACUGGGACUGGGACACGGCCCAGCCCCCUCGGGGGGGCAGGGGUGGGGAAUUUUGCCCAAGGGGCGAAAGCCUGAUGCAGCGACCCCGGGGGGGGGAGGACGGCCUUGGGGUUGUAACCCCUUUUCAGCGGGGAAGAAGGGAAAGGGACGGUCCCUGCAGAAGAAGCCCCGGCAAACUACGU